GACCUGGUGGUGAAUGGUCCACACCCAUAAUUCAUAAGGAUUGUGGUGGUUAUGUCUUGUGUGGGAGUUCCCGGUUCGAUUCCGGGCCAGGUCG